UACAGUGGCGUACGGGUGAGUAACACGUGACUAACCUACCCUCGAUGGGGAAUAACCUCGGGAAACCGGGGCUAAUACCGCAUAAUAUCUUCGGAUCAAAUGCGCAAGCAGCUUGAGGAGGGGGUCGCGGCCGAUUAGCUAGUUGGUGAGGUAAUGGCCCACCAAGGCAAUGAUCGGUAGCCGGCCUGAGAGGGCGCACGGCCACACUGGAACUGAAACACGGUCCAG
rnacentral:rRNA from 1 species